AGAGUUUGAUCCUGGCUCAGGAUUAACGCUAGCGGCAGGCCUAACACAUGCAAGUCGAACGGUAACAGGUCCAGCAAUGGAUGCUGACGAGUGGCGCACGGGUGAGUAACGCGUAUGUAACUUACCAUUAACUGGGGUAUAGCUCCGAGAAAUCGGAAUUAAUUCCUCAUAACAUCACGGAAAGGCAUCUUCCUGUGUUUAAAGCUCCGGCGGUUAAUGAUGGACAUGCGUGACAUUAGCCAGUUGGUGAGGUAACGGCUCACCAAAGCUACGAUGUCUAGGGGGUCUGAGAGGAUGAUCCCCCACACUGGUACUGAGACACGGACCAGACUCCUACGGGAGGCAGCAGUGAGGAAUAUUGGGCAAUGGGCGCAAGCCUGACCCAGCCAUGCCGCGUGCAGGAUGACUGCCUUAUGGGUUGUAAACUGCUUUUAUACAGGAUGAAACUUCCCGACGUGUCGGGGAUUGACCGUACUGUACGAAUAAGGAUCGGCUAACUCCGUGCCAGCAGCCGCGGUAAUACGGAGGAUCCAAGCGUUAUCCGGAUUUAUUGGGUUUAAAGGGUGUGUAGGCGGGACUAUAAGUCAGUGGUGAAAUCUUUCGGCUUAACUGGAAAACUGCCAUUGAAACUGUAGUUCUUGAGUGUAAUUGAGGUGGGCGGAAUGUGUCAUGUAGCGGUGAAAUGCUUAGAUAUGACACAGAACACCUAUUGCGAAGGCAGCUCACUAAAUUACUACUGACGCUGAGGCACGAAAGCGUGGGGAUCAAACAGGAUUAGAUACCCUGGUAGUCCACGCCGUAAACUAUGAUUACUCGAUGUGUGCGAUACACAGUACGCGUCUGAGCGAAAGCAUUAAGUAAUCCACCUGGGGAGUACGACGGCAACGUUGAAACUCAAAGGAAUUGACGGGGGCCCGCACAAGCGGAGGAACAUGUGGUUCAAUUCGAUGAUACGCGAGGAACCUUACCUGGGCUUGAAUGCUUUUUGACAGUCCCGGAAACGGGAUCUCCCUUCGGGGCAAAUUGCAAGGUGCUGCAUGGCUGUCGUCAGCUCGUGCCGUGAGGUGUCGGGUUAAGUCCCAUAACGAGCGCAACCCCUAUCAUUAGUUGCCAGCGGGUAAUGCCGGGGACUCUAAUGAAACUGCCGGCGUAAGCUGUGAGGAAGGAGGGGAUGACGUCAAGUCAGCACGGCCCUUAUGUCCAGGGCUACACACGUGUUACAAUGGUCGGUACAACGAGACGCUACCUGGUGACAGGAUGCAAAUCUCCAAAGCCGAUCUCAGUUCGGAUCGAAGUCUGCAAUUCGACUUCGUGAAGCUGGAUUCGCUAGUAAUCGCGCAUCAGCAACGGCGCGGUGAAUACGUUCCCGGGCCUUGUACACACCGCCCGUCAAGCCAUGGAAGUUGGGGGUACCUGAAGUCCGUAACCGCAAGGAGCGGCCUAGGGUAAAACCAGU
rnacentral:rRNA from 1 species